rnacentral:rRNA from 1 species
GACGAACGCUGGCGGCGUGCUUAACACAUGCAAGUCGAGCGAGAAACUUCGGUUUCUAGCGGCGGACGGGUGAGUAACACGUGGGCAACCUGCCUCACAAUGGGGGAUAGCCUUCCGAAAGGAAGAUUAACACCGCAUAACACAGAGGAAACGCAUGUUUCUUUUGCCAAAGAAUUUCGUUGUGAGAUGGGCCCGCGGCGCAUUAGCUUGUUGGUGAGGUAACGGCUCACCAAGGCGACGAUGCGUAGCCGACCUGAGAGGGUGAUCGGCCACAUUGGAACUGAGACACGGUCCAGACUCCUACGGGAGGCAGCAGUGGGGAAUAUUGCACAAUGGAGGAAACUCUGAUGCAGCAACGCCGCGUGAGUGAUGAAGGUCUUCGGAUUGUAAAGCUCUGUCUUCUGGGACGAUAAUGACGGUACCAGAGGAGGAAGCCACGGCUAACUACGUGCCAGCAGCCGCAGUAA